rnacentral:rRNA from 1 species
UGAGGAAUAUUGGUCAAUGGGCGAGAGCCUGAACCAGCCAAGUAGCGUGCAGGACGACGGCCCUAUGGGUUGUAAACUGCUUUUAUGCGGGGAUAACGUGCACCACGUGUGGUGUAUUGCAGGUACCGCAUGAAUAAGGACCGGCUAAUUCCGUGCCAGCAGCCGCGGUAAUACGGAAGGUCCGGGCGUUAUCCGGAUUUAUUGGGUUUAAAGGGAGCGUAGGCCGCUGUUUAAGCGUGUUGUGAAAAACCGGGGCUCAACUCCGGUCGUGCAGCGCGAACUGGACGGCUUGAGUGCGCGGUAAGUGGGCGGAAUUUGUGGUGUAGCGGUGAAAUGCUUAGAUAUCAGGAGGAACAUCGGUGGCGUAAGCGCUUUACUGGGCCGUGAUUGACGCUGAGG